rnacentral:tRNA from 1 species
AGCUUUAUAUUCAAAAAUGAUAUCAAAUUGCAAAUUUGAAGGAGUAGUAAUACUAAGGCUU